rnacentral:tRNA from 1 species
GGGGAGGUGGCUUAGUUGGUAGAGCUCCUGCCUUACGCGCAUGAGAUCUGAGUUCAGGUCCCUAGCCUCCACG